rnacentral:misc_RNA from 1 species
UACAGAGUUGAAAAACUCCCUAAACCCACUGUGAACAUACCUAUAUCGUUGCUUCGGCGGGCGGCCCCAGGGCGGGGCCCCAGGCCUUCUUACAGGUGCCCGCCGACGGCCGUUACAGAACCCUCUUGUUUUAUUUACAGGUGCUCUGAGUACUAUGAAGACCAAAAAAAAUCAGUCAAAACUUUCAACAACGGAUCUCUUGGUUCUGGCAUCGAUGAAGAACGCAGCGAAAUGCGAUAAGUAAUGUGAAUUGCAGAAUUCCAGUGAAUCAUCGAAUCUUUGAACGCACAUUGCGCCCAUUAGCAUUCUAACGGGCAUGCCUGUUCGAGCGUCAUUUCAACCCUCAGGCCCUAGCCGGCCUGGCGUUGGGGCAUCUGCGGGUGACCGCAGGCCCUGAAAGAUAGUGGCGGUGUCCGCUAGCACUCCGGGCGCAGUAGGUGUCUUUCUCGCCGAGGACUGUCUUGCGGGCUGCCGGCCGUAAAACACCCCCUAAAGGAUGGAAGGUUG